CCUACGGGAGGCAGCAGUGAGGAAUCUUGGUCAAUGGACGAGAGUCUGAACCAGCCAAGUAGCGUGAAGGAUGACUGCCCUAUGGGUUGUAAACUUCUUUUAUAAAGGAAUACAACGAGGCACGUGUGCCUUUUUGCAUGUACUUUAUGAAUAAGGAUCGGCUAACUCCGUGCCAGCAGCCGCGGUAAUACGGAGGAUCCGAGCGUUAUCCGGAUUUAUUGGGUUUAAAGGGAGCGUAGAUGGGUUGUUAAGUCAGUUGUGAAAGUUUGCGGCUCAACCGUAAAAUUGCAAUUGAUACUGGCAGUCGUGAGUACAGUUGAGGUAGGCGGAAUUCGUGGUGUAGCGGUGAAAUGCGUAGAUAUCACGAAGAACCCCGAUUGCGAAGGCAGCUUACUAAACUGUGACUGACAUUGAUGCUCGAAAGUGUGGGUAUCAAACAGGAUUAGAUACCCGGGUAGUC
rnacentral:rRNA from 1 species